UUAUGAUGGGCACAGUGUGAUGGGGUUGCAUGUGUCUCUGCAGAGUCCGUUGCCAGCUGAAUCACCUUUGCUUCCCCCAGAAGAGAAGGGGUAGAAGGAGCCAGCAGGAACUGAAAAGCCCUCUAAACUAAGGAGGCUAAGUAACAAAGACAUUCAGGACUCGGGCCCUGGAUGGAGGCUGGCAGCUUCAGACAGAACCAGCACGUCUGAGGGACAACCAGGAGAUGCCUUUGGCUGUGGAGCUCAGGAUAUGAAUCAGAGAAAAAGAACUGAAGACUUAUUCCAGGAAGAAAGGGGAGGACUAGCAGUGGAUUUUUCACUGGUAAGGCAAUUUACACACUUGUCCUUCUCAUGGUGAGUCAGUCUGUGAUACAUUUCAUAGCAAUGUCUAUGAGUUUCCAAAUCUAGAAUUAGACAUGCCAGCCAAAUAAGGGAUAGAGAAGAAAACAGUCUUGUACUCCAUCUAGUUAUCAUUCACAGCAUUCUGGAAGAGGACCUUCAAGAAAUGACUAUUCGGAC
rnacentral:lncRNA from 1 species